GCCCAACAGCUAGCCCACCUAAACAAUUUCAACAAACCCCUGUUAAUACCCCCUAAGUACCCCAGUAUUUAAAUUAAACAAACCAUUUUUCCCCCUUAGUAUAGGCGAUAGAAAAGGGGCUCCGGCGCAAUAGAGAAAGUACCGCAAGGGAAUGCUGAAAGAGAAGUGAAAUAACCCAGUGAAGCCUAAAAAAGCAGAGAUUCAAACUCGUACCUUUUGCAUCAUGAUUUAGCGAGUGUACCUCAAGCAAAGAGCACUUUAGUUUGACGUCCCGAAACUACGUGAGCUACUCCAAGACAGCCUAUCAAUAGGGCGUACCCGUCUCUGUGGCAAAAGAGUGGGGAGAGCUUUGAGUAGAGGUGACAAACCUACCGAACCUAGUUAUAGCUGGUUGUCCAAGAAAUGAAUAGAAGUUCAGCCUCUUGGCUUCUCUUUUCACCCUAGUCUAACCCCUAUUGAUGCAUUAAAGAAACCGAGAGAGUUAGUCAAAGGGGGUACAGCCCCUUUGAAUCAAGACACAACUUUACCAGGCGGGU
rnacentral:rRNA from 1 species